rnacentral:rRNA from 1 species
GACGUAGGGCGCGAGCGUUGUCCGGAUUUAUUGGGCGUAAAGAGCGUGUAGGCGGCCAGACAGGUCCGUUGUGAAAACUUGAGGCUCAACCUCGAGACGCCGAUGGAAACCGUCUGGCUAGAGUCCGGAAGAGGAGAGUGGAAUUCCUGGUGUAGCGGUGAAAUGCGCAGAUAUCAGGAAGAACACCCGUGGCUAAGGCGGCUCUCUAGUACGGUACUGACGCUGAGACGCGAAGGCGUGGGGAGCGAACAGG